rnacentral:rRNA from 1 species
AUUGAACGCUGGCGGAAUGCUUUACACAUGCAAGUCGAACGGCAGCACGGGGCAACCUGGUGGCGAGUGGCGAACGGGUGAGUAAUACAUCGGAACGUGCCCAAUCGUGGGGGAUAACGUAGCGAAAGUUACGCUAAUACCGCAUACGAUCUACGGAUGAAAGCGGGGGAUCGCAAGACCUCGCGCGAAUGGAGCGGCCGAUGUCAGAUUAGGUAGUUGGUGGGGUAAAGGCUCACCAAGCCGACGAUCUGUAGCUGGUCUGAGAGGACGACCAGCCACACUGGGACUGAGACACGGCCCAGACUCCUACGGGAGGCAGCAGUGGGGAAUUUUGGACAAUGGGCGAAAGCCUGAUCCAGCCAUUCCGCGUGCAGGAUGAAGGCCUUCGGGUUGUAAACUGCUUUUGUACGGAACGAAACGGUCCUUUCUAAUACAAGGGGCUAAUGACAGUACCUGCAGAAUAAGGGCCUGCAAAUCUCGUGCCAGCCGCCGCGGUAA